rnacentral:rRNA from 1 species
UCCGGAGACCUACGGGUGGCAGCAGUGGGGAAUAUUGGACAAUGGGCGAAAGCCUGAUCCAGCAAUACCGCGUGUGUGAAGAAGGCCUUCGGGUUGUAAAGCACUUUAAGUUGGGAAGAAAAAGCUUCACCUAAUACGUGAAGCCUUGACGGUACCGACAGAAUAAGCACCGGCUAACUCUGUGCCAGCAGCCGCGGUAAUACAGAGGGUGCUAGCGUUAAUCGGAUUUACUGGGCGUAAAGCGUGCGUAGGUGGUUUGAUAAGUCGAUUGUGAAAGCCCCGGGCUUAACCUGGGAAUUGCGGUCGAUACUGUCAGACUCGAAAACGGUAGAGGGAGGUGGAACUCCAGGUGUAGCGGUGAAAUGCGUAGAUAUCUGGAAGAACACCGAUGGCGAAGGCAGCCUCCUGGGCCUGUUUUGACACUGAGGCACGAAAGCGUGGGUAGCAAACAGGAUUAGAUACCCCGGUAGUC